rnacentral:rRNA from 1 species
UACGGGGGGGGCAAGCGUUGUUCGGAAUUACUGGGCGUAAAGGGCUCGUAGGUGGCCAACUAAGUCAGACGUGAAAUCCCUCGGCUUAACCGGGGAACUGCGUCUGAUACUGGAUGGCUUGAGUUCGGGAGAGGGAUGCGGAAUUCCAGGUGUAGCGGUGAAAUGCGUAGAUAUCGGGAGGAACACCUGUGGCGAAAGCGGCGCACUGGACCACAUCUGACGCUGAGGCGCGAAAGCUAGGGGAGCAAACAGG